GCCAGUGUGACAUAGUAGUUUGAGCAUUGGACUCUGACUCUGGAGACCAGGGUUCAAUUCCCAACAUGGCCA
rnacentral:tRNA from 1 species